UGCGAUUUAGUGUAAAGGUUUGCACAUCAGCCUCAUGAGCUGGGGGACAGGUUCGAAUCCUAGGGUCGCAA
rnacentral:tRNA from 1 species